UACGUAGGGUGCGAGCGUUGUCCGGAAUUAUUGGGCGUAAAGAGCUCGUAGGCGGUCUGUCGCGUCGAUCGUGAAAACUUGGGGCUUAACCCUGAGCUUGCGGUCGAUACGGGCAUGACUGGAGUUCGGCAGGGGAGACUGGAAUUCCUGGUGUAGCGGUGAAAUGCGCAGAUAUCAGGAGGAACACCGGUGGUGUAGACGGCUAUCUGGACCGUAACUGACGCUGAGGCACGAAAGCGUGGGUAGCAAACAGG
rnacentral:rRNA from 1 species